rnacentral:rRNA from 1 species
UACGGAGGAUCCAAGCGUUAUCCGGAUUUAUUGGGUUUAAAGGGCGCGUAGGCGGCCCUGGCAGUCGGUGGUGAAAGCCCGUGGCUCAACUGCGGGUCGGCCACCGAUACUCCAGGGCUCGAGUUUGGUAGAGGCAGAUGGAAUUCCACGUGUAGCGGUGAAAUGCGUAGAGAUGUGGAGGAACACCAGUGGCGAAGGCGACUCUUUGGCCUGUAACUGACACUGAGGCGCGAAAGCGUGGGGAGCAAACAGG